UACGUAGGGCGCAAGCGUUAUCCGGAAUUAUUGGGCGUAAAGCGCACGUAGGCGGCUUGGCAAGUCGGAUGUGAAAUCCCUCGGCUCAACCAAGGAAGUGCAUCCGAAACUGCUGAGCUUGAGUACUUAAGAGGAUCGCGGAAUUCCCGGUGUAGAGGUGAAAUUCGUAGAUAUCGGGAGGAACACCAGUGGCGAAGGCGGCGAUCUGGGAAGAUACUGACGCUGAGGUGCGAAAGCGUGGGGAGCAAACAGG
rnacentral:rRNA from 1 species